rnacentral:rRNA from 1 species
GAUGAACGCUGGCGGCGUGCCUAAUACAUGCAAGUCGAGCGAACGGACGAGAAGCUUGCUUCUCUGAUGUUAGCGGCGGACGGGUGAGUAACACGUGGAUAACCUACCUAUAAGACUGGGAUAACUUCGGGAAAACGGAGCUAAUACCGGCUAAUAUUUUGAACCGCAUGGUUCAAAAGUGAAAGACGGUCUUGCUGUCACUUAUAGAUGGAUCCGCGCUGCAUUAGCUAGUUGGUAAGGUAACGGCUUACCAAGGCAACGAUGCAUAGCCGACCUGAGAGGGUGAUCGGCCACACUGGAACUGAGACACGGUCCAGACUCCUACGGGAGGCAGCAGUAGGGAAUCUUCCGCAAUGGGCGAAAGCCUGACGGAGCAACGCCGCGUGAGUGAUGAAGGUCUUCGGAUCGUAAAACUCUGUUAUUAGGGAAGAACAGAUGUGUAAGUAACUGUGCACAUCUUGACGGUACCUAAUCAGAAAGCCACGGCUAACUUCGUG